AUUGAACGCUGGCGGAAUGCUUUACACAUGCAAGUCGAACGGCAACACGGACUUCGGUCUGGUGGCGAGUGGCGAACGGGUGAGUAAUGUAACGGAACGUUCCCAGUCGUGGGGGAUAACGUAGUGAAAAUUACGCUAAUACCGCAUACGAUCCAUGGAUGAAAGCGGGGGAUCGCAAGACCUCGCGCGAUUGGAGCGGCCGAAGUCAGAUUAGGUAGUUGGUGGGGUAAAGGCCCACCAAGCCAACGAUCUGUAGCUGGUCUGAGAGGACGACCAGCCACACUGGAACUGAGACACGGUCCAGACUCCUACGGGAGGCAGCAGUGGGGAAUUUUGGACAAUGGGCGAAAGCCUGAUCCAGCCAUCCCGCGUGCAGGAUGAAGGCCCUCGGGUUGUAAACUGCUUUUGUACAGAACGAAAAGGUUUCUACUAAUACUAGGAGCUCAUGACGGUACUGUAAGAAUAAGCACCGGCUAACUACGUGCCAGCCGCCGCAGUAA
rnacentral:rRNA from 1 species